rnacentral:lncRNA from 1 species
UUCACGCCAUUACCGGGGAUCGAAUUUGAUUCUAUUACUUAUUGGAUUGUUACAUCUUUUCGUUGGUUUAGCUUUAACGUUAAUUGUUGGUUCUUUUUUUAAUAAUAAAUUAUUUCCUAAUUCUCUUGUUUAACUUACCAAUUGUUUUGUAUUUUUGCAAAAAAGUGGAGCCACUUAAUUGUGUUGCCAACACAAAAAUUCAUUGGGGGUGGAUUUUCCUUGUACAUCUUCGCUUGCACGUCUCCUUUAAACCCUGGAAGUUUCUUUGUCUAAGAGCUUUACGCAUUUAUUUUUCUUUUUCUAUACUUUUGUUGUCUAUUUUCGUUAUUCUUUUCUUCAUUUGUUUUUUUCAAUCCUUUUGUUUUAUUUCUAAAAAUAAAAAUACGUCAAAAAAUAUAAAAUUUUAAAAAAUUAAAAAAUAUUCAUUCUCUACUUAGUAUAUUUUAUUAGUGGUCCUAGACCUACUUAAGUAGUUCUGUUUUUAUUUUUUAUUUUUAAUCUUGUUAUUAUUGGCUACUUCGUAAUUUAGUGAUGAGAUACGAUCUAUAUCGACACACCCCGUCCCGAAGGAGGGCAUGCUGGCCGUCACGUGAGAGUGACGUAACCAUUUACACAGUUCAGAAGCUUUAAAGAUACAAUUAUUAAGAUGUAACACCCGAGGGUGAGUCCUACUUUUGUGAAUUAUGUCAGAACACCGUUAGAUUCCUCGUGGCCACCAAAGCUCUGCUAUCUUGAACCUGGAGGGGCGCAAAACAAAGUUGAGUGGGUCAGUAAAACAAAGUUUUUCGAAAACGUUUCAUUUAACAACAUUUAUAACUCCUCGCUGUAAAACCUGUAUACUUUCCCAGAAAAUAGUAUAUAUAUAACCAUAUAUAAUCUCAAAACUCAAAUCACAAGUCUUUAAUACUUUUCAAGAAAACAUGCCAUGCUAUGCAUCAAAACAUAAUAAGGAUGCAACAUUAUAAUAGGUGAAAUAAGGAAUCAACCGGAGACCCUGUAGUUGGUCCUGUACGGUUAAUUCUAUAGCUCAAUAUCCAAUCCAACCGGAGUCACCAAUUGUGACCUGUAUGACACUACUUUGCACAUAAAUUGGAACUACUUGAAGUAGUUUGUACGAUAAGAAUGGUGUAAUAAUACGCUCUAGUGCUUCUCUCAUCAACAGCUGUAUAAUAAUCUAAGUUCACCUACAAGUCGGAACCACCUCUCAUGGUCUGUACAACAUGUCGGAACCACCUCUCAUGAUAUGUACGACAUGCACCUACUUGGAUCCAAGGUGAGCGUGUGGUGCGGGUGAAUAAUAUAAGCACUAACACCAGGGGUGCAUGUUUGAGCUUUCAACACAAUUCACUUCACAAUAAAUCACAUGAUUAACAUAAAACUCACCUGAUACUCACCUGUGCAUCCACAACACCAUUUAACAUAUAUAUGCAACAAUUACCAAUUCAUAUAUUUUACAUAUAUGUAUGCAUGACAUUUUAAAACAUACUUUCAUUUAAAUUCAAUUUUUGGGAAAAUCAAUAGUAUAUAGGUAAAUACAUAAAAUACUGCCCACUCACCUGGAGUUCGCCCUACACCUCCCUAGCACAACACAUCAAGGCGUCAUGACGAUCGGCGCCUAGAACAAUCAUCAAAUCAAACCUCAGAAAUAAUAUCGAUAGAAUAUAUAACUUAUAUAAAACACGCCACUACGUAGUUCAAUCCGGAGGAUCUGCAUCUUAGAUUUCCAAUCCAAAACUUCCAGAGGUCCACAAUAUAUCUCUAGAACAA